CCUACGGGAGGCAGCAGUGGGGAAUAUUGGACAAUGGGCGGAAGCCUGACCCAGCAACGCCGCGUGAAGGAAGAAGGCUUUCGGGUUGUAAAGUUCUUUUCUCAGGGACGAAACAAGUGACGGUACCUGAGGAAUAAGCCACGGCUAACUACGUGCCAGCAGCCGCGGUAAUACGUAGGGGGCAAGCGUUAUCCGGAAUUACUGGGUGUAAAGGGCGCGUAGACGGGGAAGUAAGUCCGGUGUGAAAAACAUGGGCUCAACC
rnacentral:rRNA from 1 species